rnacentral:rRNA from 1 species
AUUGAACGCUGGCGGCGUGCUUUACACAUGCAAGUCGGACGGAGUGGCGAACGGGUGAGUAACGCAUCGGAACGUACCGAGUAAUUGGGGAUAACUGUCCGAAAGGACAGCUAAUACCGCAUACUAUCAGUUGAGCCUAGGUCGGAUGAGCUAGUUGGGGGGGUAAAGGCCUACAAAUGCGACGAUCCGUAACUGGUCUGAGAGGAUGAUAAUUCAAACUGGAAAUGAGACACGGUCCAGAAUCCUACGGGAGGCAGCAGUGGUGAACAGUGGACAAAGGGCGAAGGCCUGAUCCAUCCAUGCCGCGUGUAUGAAGAAGGUAUUCGGAUUGGAAAGCAUUUUAAGUUGGGAGGCGUUACCAACAGAAUAAGGACCGGCUAACUACGUGCCAGCCGCCGCGGUAAUAC